rnacentral:misc_RNA from 1 species
GGGACAUUUGCAGCCCGGGGACAUUUCCAGCUAUCUUCUCCUUACAUGGGCUUGGGGGGAGGCCGUGGGGCUGCACCCGCUGGCCUGAAGCGGGGCGGGGGGGUCCGGUCCUUGCGGGCCUCCCGUGAGCGGUUCCUCACCACCUUACUGUGGAUGGCACAGCUGACGCAGUAGUGCAGCUUCACGUACAGCUUGGGCAGGACAUAGGAGUCGAAGACGCU